UACGUAGGCAGCAAGCGUUGUUCGGAGUUACUGGGCGUAAAGCGUGCGCAGGCGGUUUUGUAAGUCUGUCGUGAAAUCCCCCGGGCUCAACCUGGGAAUUGCGAUGGAGACUGCAAGGCUAGAAUCUGGCAGAGGGGGGUAGAAUUCCACGUGUAGCAGUGAAAUGCGUAGAGAUGUGGAGGAACACCAAAGGCGAAGGCAGUGUCCUGGGGAGUACCUGACGCUCAGGUGCGAAAGCCAGGGGAGCGAACGGG
rnacentral:rRNA from 1 species